rnacentral:rRNA from 1 species
GAUGAACGCUAGCGGCGGGCUUAAUACAUGCAAGUCAAGGGGUAGCAAUACACCGGCGUACGGGUGCGUAACGCGUAUGGAACCUGCCCUUAUCUGGGGGAUAACUCGGGGAAACUCGAGCUAAUACCGCAUAAGAUAGUAGAGUGGCAUCACUCAGCUAUUAAAGAUUUAUCGGAUAAGGAUGGCCAUGCGUAAGAUUAGAUAGUUGGCGAGGUAACGGCUCACCAAGUCUACGAUCUUUAGGGGCUCUGAGAGGAGAAUCCCCCACACUGGCACUGGGAUACGGGCCAGACUCCUACGGGAGGCAGCAGUAGGGAAUAUUGGGCAAUGGGCGGAAGCCUGACCCAGCCACGCCGCGUGCAGGAAGACGGCCCUCUGGGUUGUAAACUGCUUUUAACUGGGAAGAAAGCAGCUCAUGCGUGAGAAUUUGACGGUACCAGUUGAAUAAGCCACGGCUAACUACGUGCCAGCAGCCGCAGUAACAC